GCUCUGGUGACUUAGUGGUUAGAGCGGCCGUCUAGGAUGCUGGAGGUCGUUGGUUCGAACCCCAGCCGAGUCAUGCC